rnacentral:lncRNA from 1 species
UUGGGCUGUGUCACACAGCUAGUUAGCCAUACACACUGUGAUCUGUCUGAUACUGACAAUACACACUGUGAUCUGUCUGAUACUGACAAUACACACUGUGAUCUGUCUGAUACUGACAAUACACACUGUGAUCUGUCUGAUACUGACAAUACACACUGUGAUCUGUCUGAUACUGACAAUACACACUGUGAUCUGUCUGAUACUGACAAUACACACUGUGAUCUGUCUGAUACUGACAAUACACACUGUGAUCUGUCUGAUACUGACAAUACACACUGUGAUCUGUCUGAUACUGACAAUACACACUGUGAUCUGUCUGAUACUGACAAUACACACUGUGAUCUGUCUGAUACUGACAAUACACACUGUUGUCUGUCUGAUACUGACAAUACACACUGUGAUCUGUCUGAUACUGACAAUACACACUGUGAUCUGUCUGAUACUGACAAUACACACUGUUGUCUGUCUGAUACUGACAAUACACACUGUUGUCUGUCUGAUACUGACAAUACACACUGGGGUCUGUUUUGUACUGACAAUACACCCUGUUGUCUGUCUGAUACUGACAAUACGCACUGUGAUCUGUCUGAUACUGACAAUACACACUGUUGUCUGUCUGAUACUGACAAUACACACUGUUGUCUGUCUGAUACUGACAAUACACACUGGGGUCUGUUUGGUACUGACAAUACACACUGGGGUCUGUUUGGUACUUUGGUACUGACAAUACACACUAGGGUCUGUUUGGUACUGACAAUACACACUAGGGUCUGUUUGGUACUGACAAUACACACUGGUAUCUGUUUGGUAUUGACAAUACACACUGGGGUAUGCUUGGUACUGACAGUACACACUGGGGUCUGUUUGGUACUGACAAUACACACUGGGGUCUGUUUGGUAUUGACAAUACUCACUGGGAUCUGUUUGGUACUGACAAUACACACUGGGAUCUGUUUGGUACUGACAAUACACAUUGGGGUAUGUUUGGUACUGACAAUACACACUGGGGUCUGUUUGGUACUGACAAUACACACUGGGGUAUGUUUGGUACUGACAGUACACUAG